rnacentral:lncRNA from 1 species
UUAUCAUAUGUAUUAAGCUAAAUGAGACUCAAGAAUGCAAAAGUCAAAUAAGAACAAAGAAAACAAGAUCAGAAAACACAAAGCUCCUCCCCCACACUUAAAUAACACAGUCCCUUGUGUUAUAAAAGCGUGUGAGAGAAGUAAAAAGACAAACUAAAUGCAAUAUGGUAUAUACAAGAGUUUGAAGUCGAUACCUCAGUCGGAGAGGUCUGAUCCCAAGUAGUACGAGGGAUUUGACGUUGAGCAGGAGGGCGUGGACUGACGUGGUGGGCUGCUUUCCGAGGGUUCCGGUAAGAAUGCCGAGGCAGGAUCGAUCCAGUCCUCUUUGCCUGGUGGAAACUCCGGGUUCCUCGCCUUAGUGCUUUCUCCAACCUCUUCUUGUGUAACCGGUGCGGUUGAGGUCGCCGAGUUCUUGUCUGGAGAAGAUGGUCUGGUGAGUUGCUUGACUUUCUUUUUCAGAUGCCUUACACAGUCCACCAACGCGUGAAUGGUCUUGUCUUGUCACUUACACCACUUUUGGAGAGUGUUCACUCGCGAAUACAGCUUCUUGGUAUGGUAUUCAGGCUCACCCCAGACGUAUGGAUCAAAAUGGUAUCGGCCUGCUCCUGUCCUUCUCUCAGCGUGCCUCUGUUCCUCAUUCUCAUAUCCGACCAGGCCGUUCUCGUUCUGCGGCUUGCUAGGUGCGGUCUUGGUGCACUUGCGCAUUGGUGGGUCGAGAGAUGGGUUGUACAACUGAUCCUUGAGGACAUAGAAGGAGACGUUACACUGCUUAUCAAGCAUGGUGAGGCCUCGGUUAGGCAGUAGAACCUGUGUGCCGUCUCUGUGCAUCAGUGUGAAGUUGUAAACCCAUGUAUCCCCUGACUUGCCUCCAAAGAAUCCACUUUUACUUAGGUAUUGUUCAUCAAUGAGACUCGGCCUUGAUGGUGAAUCAGGGAAUAUGAACCCUUGAGCUCUCAAAAUCUUGGUGACUAUCCAACCGUUCUGAAGCCUCCUUGCUCCUUUCUUCUUUCGGUCACACCACACAUUGUGCUUGUAUGUAAGCAUUUGGAUUGCAAAGAACGCGCCUAGAGAGGGUACAUGCAUUGGCCCUUGGAACUCCUUCUUGUUCUUCAUUUUAGUGGGAGCGGCUUCAGUCCAAGUCCCAACAGCUCGAGCUCGACCGUAUGAAUAACACCAGGGUUAUAGGUCGAGAAGAAUGUGGAGGCGUGAACUCGGUUGGUGUAUCUGAUAGCAGGGUUCCUGAUGCAACUCGUCUUGCUCUUGCCUCCCAAGUAAGGUCCGAAAGCUAUUGUUUCUGAUACUUUCCACCUUAAGAUCGUCACUCUAAGCACUAGAUCUCACGAUUUUGAGCAGAUUUGGAUAUGAACUUUAGAUAGAAUGGGUGGAAAUGAUAGGUCACACAAAGGAUGCGGAAGGCCUUUGAUAUACCAGGGUGAUUCUAUGGAUAUGACACACCAAAGAAUCGGGUUGCUUGAAAGAUAUAACACACUCACAAGCUAAGAUGUUCAAGAGAACAAAUGAUCUAAAUUAGAAAGAGUUUUUUGGGUAGAAAAGAUAGAUGAGUUUAACAAGGAGCGUACAAGGGUUUAAAAAGAAAGAGAACAAGUCUGCGACAGCCAAGACUUGUCUCGGAAAUACUAAGACAAUAAAGACUAAGUUUGAAUAAGAAAGAAACAAGAAAGAAACUCUUUUUCUCUGGGCCAAUACUUCAAGUUUUGGGCCUCUUGUUGGAUCAGCGAAUGAGGGAUAUGAUGUGAGCCGUUUGUCUCAUUAAAAACCUCUCUUUGGAAAACCCAUUGGGACAAAACCAAAGGAGAGGGAAAAAGAGUGCAAACGGGUCACAUGCCCAUUCACUGAUCAUCUUGAGCCUGUAUAGAAACCAAUGCGGCUUGUAUAGCAACUUCUCCCUCCUGGCUCAAGACAUUGGCUCGUCUCCAACUGGUUCUAAGCAAGGCUCCGAUAGCUUCCUAAAGUUUCUUGCUCCUUGAUCUAGUUAUUGGACCGGCUGGCAUCUCCAAAGCUUCCUCUAUAUCCGGUUCCUCUUGUUCUUCUAGUCCAUCUUCUUGAGCUUCAAGUUCCAAGUCCUCUAGGCUGUCCAUGAUCGCAUCAUCCCCCUCCUCUUGAAAAGGAUUUGACCUCAAAUCUGGUUCAUCUGCCACAAAAGGAACAAGAUCAGAAACAUUAAAACUAGAACUGAUAUUAUACUUACCUCGCAGAUCAAGCUGAUAAGCAUUGUUGUUGAUUCUUCUUAUUAUGGUGAAGGGUCCAUCAAUUCUUGGCAUCAGUUUGGACUUUCUUUCGGCUGGAAACCGUUCUUUCCUCAAAUGUACCCAAACUUGAUCGCCAACUUCGAAAAUCAUCUCUCGUCGGUUCUUAUUUGCUUUCUUGGCAUAGAGCUUGGUCUUUUCUUCUACGUUGAGUUUAGCCUUCUCAUGGAUCUGUUUAACAAGUUCUGCCUUCUUCUUUCCAUCGAGACUAGUUCUCUCACUCAAAGGAAGAGGGGUUAGAUCCAAAGGAGACAAAGGACUAAAACCAUAGACAAUUUGAAAUGGGGAAAACUUAGAAGUAGAAUGCAUCUAGUGAUUAUAUGCAAACUCUACAUGCGGUAAGCAAUCUUCCCAACUUUUAAGAUUCUUUUUGACUAGAACACGCAACAAAGUGGAUAAGGUCCUAUUAACUACUUCAGUCUGCCCAUCAGUUUGUGGAUGACAAGUAGUAGAAAAUAGAAGCUUAGUACCUAACUUAGACCACAAUGUUUUCCAGAUAUAACUAAGGAAUUUCGUGUCACGAUCGGAUACGAUGGUCUUAGGCAUUCCAUGCAGACGCACAACUUCUUUAAAGAACAAGUUAGCUAUAUGAGAUGCAUCAUCGGUUUUGUUACAAGCUAUAAAAUGAGCCAUUUUUGAGAACCUGUCUACCACAACAAAUAUAGAAUCCUUCCCAGUCAUAGUCCUAGGCAAUCCAAGCACAAAGUCCAUAGAUAUAUCAAUCCAAGGAUGAGAGGAAAUAGGUAAGGGAGUAUACAAACCGUGUGGUCUGACUUUGGACUUAGCUUGUUUACAAGUGACACAUCGUUCGCAGAUCCUCUCUACGUCUCUCUUCAUAUGCGGCCAAUAGAAGUGGUCUUGCAUGAUUUUCAAAGUUUUUGUUACACCAAAGUGCCCCAUAAGACCUCCUCCGUGGGCUUCCCUGACUAAAAGAUCUCGAAUAGAACAAUUAGGUAUGCACAAACGAUUAUUAUAGAAGAGAUAUCCUUCUUGUCUAAAAUAAUGAUCCUUAGCAAAUUUUUUACAAGACUGAUAUUUCUCUUUAAAGUCAGAAUCGGAUGCAUAGAGAAGCUUAAGCUGUUCAAAUCCUAAAAGCUUGGCAUCAAGAGUGGUGAUUAGAGCAUACCUGCGUGACAAGGCAUCGGCAACUACAUUGUCUUUACCUUUCUUGUACUUGAUAACAUAAGGAAAUGUCUCAAUGAAUUCGAUCCAUCGGCCAUGUCGUUUGUUGAGCUUUUGUUGUCCUUUUAAAUGCUUGAGAGACUCAUGGUCGGUAUGAAUAACGAAUUCCUUGGGCCACAGAUUGUGUUGCCAUGUUUGAAGUGCUCGCACCAAGGCAUAAAGUUCUUUAUUGUAGGUAGGAUAGUUCAGCAUGGCUCCUCCGAGUUUUUCACUAAAGUAGGCCACGGGUUUCUUGUCUUGCAUUAAGACAGCUCCAAUUCCUACACCAGAAGCAUCACAUUCAAUCUCAAAAGUCUUAAGGAAAUCAGGUAAGACAAGUACCGGUGCAUUGGUUAGUUUAUCCUUAAGUAUUUGAAACGCUUCUUCUUGUGCUUGUUCCCACUUAAAUCCCACAUCUUUCUUGAUGAUCUCGGUU